rnacentral:rRNA from 1 species
CAGUAGCCACGGUAAAACAGAGGGUGCAAGCGUUAAUCGGAAUUACUGGGCGUAAAGCGCGCGUAGGUGGUUUGUUAAGUUGGAUGUGAAAGCCCCGGGCUCAACCUUGGAACUGCAUCCAAAACUGGCAAGCUAGAGUACGGUAGAGGGUGGUGGAAUUUCCUGUGUAGCGGUGAAAUGCGUAGAUAUAGGAAGGAACACCAGUGGCGAAGGCGACCACCUGGACUGAUACUGACACUGAGGUGCGAAAGCGUGGGGAGCAAACAGGAUUAGAUACCCGUGUAGUCCCUGUCUCUUAUAC